GAGGAAAAGAAACCANCAGGGAUUGCCCUAGUAACGGCGAGUGAAGCGGCAACAGCUCAAAUUUGAAAUCUGGCUCUUUUAGAGUCCGAGUUGUAAUUUGCAGAGGGCGCUUUGGCUUUGGCAGCGGUCCAAGUUCCUUGGAACAGGACGUCACAGAGGGUGAGAAUCCCGUACGUGGUCGCUGGCUAUUGCCGUGUAAAGCCCCUUCGACGAGUCGAGUUGUUUGGGAAUGCAGCUCUAAAUGGGAGGUACAUUUCUUCUAAAGCUAAAUAUUGGCCAGAGACCGAUAGCGCACAAGUAGAGUGAUCGAAAGAUGAAAAGCACUUUGGAAAGAGAGUCAAACAGCACGUGAAAUUGUUGAAAGGGAAGCGCUUGCAGCCAGACUUGCUUACAGUUGCUCAUCCGGGUUUCUACCCGGUGCACUCUUCUGUAGGCAGGCCAGCAUCAGUUUGGGCGGUAGGAUAAAGGUCUCUGUCACGUACCUCCUUUCGGGGAGGCCUUAUAGGGGAGACGACAUACUACCAGCCUGGACUGAGGUCCGCGCAUCUGCUAGGAUGCUGGCGUAAUGGCUGUAAGCGGCCCGUCUUGAAACACGGACCAAGGAGUCUAACAUCUAUGCGAGUGUUUGGGUGUCAAGCCCGAGCGCGUAAUGAAAGUGAACGGAGGUGGGAACCCGCAAGGGUGCACCAUCGACCGAUCCUGAUGUCUUCGGAAGGAUUUGAGUAAGAGCAUGGCUGUUGGGACCCGAAAGAUGGUGAACUAUGCUUGAAUAGGGUGAAGCCAGAGGAAACUCUGGUGGAGGCUCGCAGCGGUUCUGACGUGCAAAUCGAUCGUCAAAUUUGGGCAUAGGGGCGAAAGACUAAUCGAACUAUCUAGUAGCUGGUUCCUGCCGAAGUUUCCCUCAGGAUAGCAGUAACGUAUUCAGUUUUAUGAGGUAAAGCGAAUGAUUAGAGGCCUGGGGGUUGAAACAACCUUCACCUAUUCUCAAACUUUAAAUAUGUAAGAAGUCCUUGUUACUUAAUUGAACGUGGACAGUUGAAUGAAACGUUAUUAGUGGGCCAUUUUUGGUAAGCAGAACUGGCGAUGCGGGAUGAACCGAACGAGGGGUUAAAGUGCCGGAAUAUACGCUCAUCAGACACCACAAAAGGUGUUGGUUCAUCUAGACAGCAGGACGGUGGCCAUGGAAGUCGGAAUCCGCUAAGGAGUGUGUAACAACUCACCUGCCGAAUGAACUAGCCCUGAAAAUGGAUGGCGCUCAAGCGUGUUACUUAUACCCCUCCGCUGGGGCAAAAUUUACGCCCCAGCGAGUAGGCAGGCGUGGAGGUCCGUG
rnacentral:rRNA from 1 species